rnacentral:rRNA from 1 species
CCCUUAGAUGUUCUGGGCCGCACGCGCGCUACACUGAUGCGUUCAACGAGUCUAAAACCUGCUCUGAUAGGGGUGGGUAAUCUUUUGAAUGUGCAUCGUGAUUGGGAUAGAUGAUUGCAAUUUUUCAUCUUCAACGAGGAAUGCCUAGUAAACGCAAGUCAUCAGCUUGCAUUGAUUACGUCCCUGCCCUUUGUACACACCGCCCGUCGCUCCUACCGAUUGAAUGAUCCGAUGAAUAUCAUGGAUUGAGGAUGCAAGUAGGUUCGCCUAUCUUCAUCUUCGAGAAGUGAAGUAAAUCUUAUCAUUUAGAGGAAGGAGAAGUCGUAACA